rnacentral:rRNA from 1 species
AUUGAACGCUGGCGGCAGGCCUAACACAUGCAAGUCGGACGGUAGCACAGAGAGCUUGCUCUCGGGUGACGAGUGGCGGACGGGUGAGUAAUGUCUGGGGAUCUGCCCGAUAGAGGGGGAUAACCACUGGAAACGGUGGCUAAUACCGCAUAACGUCGCAAGACCAAAGAGGGGGACCUUCGGGCCUCUCACUAUCGGAUGAACCCAGAUGGGAUUAGCUAGUAGGCGGGGUAACGGCCCACCUAGGCGACGAUCCCUAGCUGGUCUGAGAGGAUGACCAGCCACACUGGAACUGAGACACGGUCCAGACUCCUACGGGAGGCAGCAGUGGGGAAUAUUGCACAAUGGGCGCAAGCCUGAUGCAGCCAUGCCGCGUGUAUGAAGAAGGCCUUCGGGUUGUAAAGUACUUUCAGCGGGGAGGAAGGCGAUGUGGUUAAUAACCGCAUUGAUUGACGUUACCCGCAGAAGAAGCACCGGCUAACUCCGUGCCAGCAGCCGCGGUAA